GUCGUAAAUUGUUGAAUAUAUCGAGGGCAACAUCACUAAAGAGCAUAUCUCCGAUAUCUCAGAAACUACUGAACCGAUUUUGAUAAACUUUUUUCUUCCCUGAAAGGUAUUAAAGAGUUAUGAAUUU